AUGUAAUUUAAUUCCUAUAACAUUAAUGCAUCAUAUCCUAUUAGAAAUUUGUAGUUAAGCGUGCUUGGGAUAGAGUAAUACUAGGAUGAGUGACCACCCAGGAAGUCCUAGUGUUUUACAUG
rfam:Picea glauca, whole genome shotgun sequence.